rnacentral:rRNA from 1 species
UGGGGAAUAUUGGACAAUGGGGGGAACCCUGAUCCAGCCAUGCCGCGUGUGUGAAGAAGGCCUUAUGGUUGUAAAGCACUUUAAGCGAGGAGGAGGGUACUGGUAUUAAUACUACCAGCUACUGGACGUUACUCGCAGAAUAAGCACCGGCUAACUCUGUGCCAGCAGCCGCGGUAAUACAGAGGGUGCGAGCGUUAAUCGGAUUUACUGGGCGUAAAGCGUGCGUAGGCGGCUAAUUGAGUCGGAUGUGAAAUCCCCGAGCUUAACUUGGGAAUUGCAUUCGAUACUGGUUAGCUAGAGUGUGGGAGAGGAUGGUAGAAUUCCGGGUGUAGCGGUGAAAUGCGUAGAGAUCUGGAGGAAUACCGAUGGCGAAGGCAGCCAUCUGGCCUGACACUGACGCUGAGGUACGAAAGCAUGGGGAGCAAACAGG